GUGUAGCUCUCAAAUGAUGUUAUAAAUAUCCAAAUGGCCCUUGGUAGAAAAAAGAUUCCGCAUCUCUGCUUAUCAGAUAGCUAAUUUUUGAAGAUUGGAAUGAAAAUUGGGAUUGAUAUAUGAACUGUUUAAAAAUAAAUAUUACUAUAUUUGUAGAGGUACUUUACAAGAAAUAUUAAUUUAUAUAUUAGCAUAAUGAUAAUGGCAUUACCACUUAGGCAUGGCAUUUACUAGUUAGGAAACAUUUUUACAUAUUAAAUCAUCACAGCAACCCUCUGAGGUAGGAAAAAUUAUUCCUCUAUUAAUGGUGAAAAAAUAGGUUCAGAUUUUUCAAGUUGUUCAUCCAGAUUACAUAGCAAUACCACAACAACUUUACUAAAUGAAAAAGACAUGGUCUUAACCUCAAAGAUCUUGAGUGUUGGGAGCCUCACAAAGUGAAUAGUUGUGAGGUAAGUGAUGGAUCUCUGAUGCCUAUCAAAGGAAACUAGACUCAUUUGGAUUCAUAAAUACAAGAAUAGGUCACAUUUGUCACCUAUUUACUCAAAAGUAAACACAGGAGACAGCUCACCAACCCAGCAUCAUCAUUAAAAGUUUCUCCUCCAUGGGAGUGAGUAGUCUUCAUGGCAGUUUACACAGCCAUCCAAGAAUUAUUCUCUGGACACACCACAAAUGAUAGCUCAAGUGCAAGAAAUAAGACCGCACCAGUUUUCCACUGAUGAAAACGACAAAGACAUAAUAUAAAAACAGGUAAUGAGUCAUAGUGAAAUAGAAUAUAUUAAAAUCAAUAAAUUUUACCAAUGGAAAA